AAUAUUUAAUUUCAAGAUAUAGAUUUGAUGAAACAACUGUGAAAUUUUUCAAUUUUUUCCCCUUAAAAUACUGAGCCUUCUUUUCACUCACCUCACUGUAUAGCAAAAAAGUGUUUCUCCUGUCAACUUAAGGAAAAUUCUAGCUAAGAUAUAUGGUGGACAAUGCUAAUGGGAAAGCAUGUGAAAUUCACAAAAAAAUGAACAUUUUUUUUAUUUUGAUAUUCUUCAGGGGCUAGAGAAAAAGUCUUAAAAGCACUGACAAGUAAAACAGAUGUCACAAUUACACAUCCUAUAAACAAAUGUAUGGAAAUUCAAGGAUGUGAUGGACAUUUGCAAGCAUAAGUCAUUGUUCUCAAAUGACAAUCCUCUGUGACUAACAGCUAUGGUUGAUUCUGUUCUGUAAUCAUUCUGGGAUGUGAUCUGUCAACCACUCCUGGGAUGUCUGGGUGAAGUAAUGAAGAACACAGCCAAGUCUCUAAGGCACCAUUUCAGAUUUUCCUUCCUACCUACCCAUCCACAUUGUUUUCCUCGUCUAUGGAACUUCUGAUCCCAAGCUUUAUAUUCCUUCCUGUAUCUUUCUUCUUAAAGAAUUUGAAUGUCUUGGAUAUCUCAUUGUUGGAUCAGGCUUGUAGCUCACUGAAAGGGAGACUUCACCUACUCAAUAAACAAAUGCUUGCCAUUGUGUAAAAUCAAACAACUGGAAAUGAUUUUCAGGACAUUUUCAUAGUAAAUUGUAAGAAUGUCCAUAGUCAGUUGUAAGGAUGUCCUCUAGAGAAAAGAACAAUGGUACCCGUGAAUUGUCCAAUUUAAAGAAGCAACAUUAUUUAAAUGUCUACUAAAGAUUGAGAUCUUUUUUCCUCAUUUUAUUUAAAUUAUGAGAAGUUGGGUGGGAGGCUCCCUAAAUUCCAUGGUAUAAUUGGAAACUUAAAUUAUCUUCCCACAUUCUCUAUGUGUACUAAACUCUCCUUUCUUAUAUUAAGACCCCUAAGAAGUCAUAAGUAUCUUUGUGAACACAUACGUCCUCAAGGCAAUUAGCACCCUCAACAGUACCAAGUAGUUUUCCAAUUCUCUAUCUUUCUCUCUGACUUGACAGUCUUUUUCCUGGUGUUAGGUUUAUAUGCCAGGUGAAUUUGUCACAGAAGAGAACAGAGUAUUGAUUGAAUUUGACUAUCUUGAGUAAAUUUUGAUUUUAUGCCACCUGUCUGUUUCUGGAAUGGUUCAUUCUGCUCUAUCUGUGUUUGCUGACUCUCAAUACCAUGUAAGAACUUCAUCAUGACUACAUGACAAAAAUUCAUAAGAAGAAUCAAUUUAGAUUACUUUCAGAUUAUUACUCUAAAGCUGCCUUUAAGUAGUCCUACAAUUAUUUCUCUGAGUCCUCUGAAAAAAAAAAAUGACCUUUCUUUUUUGCUAAUGGAAAAGGGGAGUCAGAUCAAACCAGUCAGUCAAAGCAGUAUGAAGAAGAAUAAUGAAGGAAAAACUGUAAUCCCCUAAAUUACUUGCAAAAUCUGUGGGUUUUUAUAGAGAUGUUCUCUUUCUCUCCUGAUUGUCUCAAUUUGUUAACUAGCAUCUGUAUUUGAAGGUAAUUUUUAACUUAAAAAGGAAAAGAAAUUCUUAUAAAUUGUAUAGCAUCAGAACUUAAUUUUAAUUUAAAAUGUGUGGGAUUAUCAGAGCAACCUCUAGCUUUUCUAUUCCAGGAGAAAUGUAUUAAAAAUACAACUCUUUCUGAGUUUUAGAGUUAUUUUUUUUUCUCUAGGAAAAUAAUAAUAGUUCAUGGAAUUAUUGCAAGGGAUAAUUAAAAGUAAAAUCCAGUUAUAUAAAUUUUUAUCUCAUACACUCACACCGUAAAUACUGUCAUCUUUAUUAUUUCUAAAAAUAAAAUCAGUUAUCACAGUUGAAAAAGAUAGUCCCACUGUAAAGUAAUAAUAACAUUUUUGAGGAAACUCAUUUGAGAGAUAAUGUUAAAGCUUUGUCAUCGACUCAUUACAAUAACACUAUGUUGAGUGUGGAGAAACUGACAUUGAGAGUUUAAAUAAUAUAAACAAGUUCAUACAUCUAGGUAAUGAUAAGACUGGAAUUCUAAACUCUUUCUGCCUGAAACUGAUGCAUGUGCUACUUAUUAAACCUAUAUUCAACGAGUAGGAGGACCAAAUUCAGAGAGAAAUUUUUCCAAAAAUUAGUAAAAAAAAUAAAUUAGUACACCAAACAGGAAAUGCAACCAUGCUCAUUUUUCAUUUCUUUGGUAUCUACAGAAAGAAAUGGCAUCCCCAAAUUAUUCUACUCAAUGUGAUGAAAAGUUGAGCUAAUAAAUAAUAAAUCAGAGCUAACAAAAUGGUAAAGUUUUCAUUGGCUUUAACAUUACAGUCUUACCUCUAUUCGUCAUACAAAUGCACCACAUCAGCCGGUUGAAAUUAUAAAAAAAAAUGCAACUAUUUCGGUUUUAGGUUAAGAAAUCCAGCCUUUCUAAAAAUCACUCUCUUAAUACAUUUCCAAUUAUUUUAUUUCCAUAGCCAUAAUUUUUUGAUACAUUUUCUAUGGUAGUCAAGAGAGCAAAAAUACUGAAGAGAAGCAAGAUAUGGGGUUACUGUGGGCCUUUCUGGAUAUAAUUUCUAUAUGGAUUGUAAACCUGGAUAAGCCAUGUGAUAUUUUCUCUACCGUAUAUGCCCAAGGCUCAUGGGAGAUACUCCAGCGACUCAAUGUGCCAAAGAGGGCCAGGAGGAAAACACCCUAAGGAUUAUAGACAUGUUAUCAACAUUAGUACCAAUACCGAAACAGGAAACUUAAGGAAUAAUGUCCACAGAGAAAAGGGACGUGAGAAGUAGGCCAGCAGCAUAUGGAAUGUUUUGCCUUAUGUUUAUGUGAAAAUAACCAAAUGUGCAAAAGUUUUAGAAGAGGUUUCCUGAAUUUUCCUCAUGAGGAUGUCUCUGAAGAUUUUUUUUUAAAUCUUACUGAGUAAAAUACUGGGAUUUUAAGUGGAAAUAUUACAUUUUCUAUUCUUAUAGAGUAAAAUGUCUCCAUAAGUGGAUCUUUAAGCUAUUAACUUUCAACUAAAUUAUUCAAAAAUUAGAGAACAAUUAAAAGAAGUGUGAGAUGGAAUGUAGUGCUCAGUGCUCAGUGACUUCCCAUUGAAAGGUAUGGGAAAAAUUGGAUAAAAUAUCCAUUAAACUCUAUAGUCUCUUCCAAGAAUCAUUUCAGGUUAUUUUUCUGUAACUGUAAUGAUGCUAAUUGUUGAGGUGGACCUACCAUCCAAAGGUCCCUUUACUGGGUGGGCUGGGUUCCAGUGGAUAAUGAAAUCAAAAAAUCUAGGAGUUUUAUAAGAAUUUAUAAAUCUGAUUUCUUUCAGUCUAAUUUUAGAAAUGACAAAAAAAGGAGUUCUCCUUGUGCCUCAGUGGGUUUAGAAUCUGACUGGUAUCCAUGAGGAUGCAGGUUUGACGUAUGGAUGAGUUAAGGAUCCAGUGUUGCCCUGAGCUGUGGUGUAGGUCCCAGACAUGGCUCAGUUCCUGCAUUUCUGUGGCUGUAGUGUAGGCCAGCAGCUGCAGCAGCUCCAAUUAUACCCCUAGCCUAGGAACUUCCAUAUGUCAACAGGUACACUCCCCC
rnacentral:lncRNA from 1 species